rnacentral:misc_RNA from 1 species
CCUGCCCCUACUCAGCAGGUAGCCGGAUGUCCUCAAAGAAAUGGGACGACGCAGUUCCACCCCUCUGAUCCAUAAUUUCAAACGGCAUCGCGCGGCUUUAUACACCCAAAAUUUUCAAAAACUUUUAACAGAAACCUGGUUAUUAUCCAAAUUGCUGGCUCCGUCCGGUGUUCAUUGCCCUUCUUCUCUGGAAAAAAUGUACAUCAACAACAUCACCAAUUGCCUCACUCUCUCCCUCCAAAAUUGAGCCAAAUUACGUGAUUCAGAAAGUCAAGGAAGAGAAAUUACGUAAAAAAGACAAUCAAUUAGAAGAUCAAGCAGAGGAAGAGAAAGAUGAAAGGAAAACUAUGGCACAAAGAAAGGAGAAGAAGAGAGAGCAAGGGAUCUUCGCAUAUGUGCCCCAAGAGAACCUCUUUCCCCCUGCAUUGCAAGCUAUAUUGCUCACCACACGAGAGAGAAU